CUUGCUAUAUUUCUGUUCUGCAUUGUUGUGCACUUAUUACAGCUGCAAAAUCAAUGUGAGUGAGCAGCUCAUUGAACACAGGUUUCACAACGUUCUAUUUGUAAUUUAGGAGCAGCAUUGGGGAACCCGUGCUGCAAGCUGAAGGAAAUGAUGUGCUCUGCCUGCUCUGACCCACAGCAUGCUGGUAGCAGCGUUGCUGAACAAAAGACAUGGCUCAGACAAGCCGGGGAGCGUCCUGAGAAAAGACGUGCCGGGGUAAUUUCCCUCCAAGGCCGCCGUCGUCUCUCGUCUGAGGAGGGGGAGGAGAAAUAAUGGCUACUUUUUAAGGAUGGACAAAUAAAACAGAGGACUAUUUUCAUGCCACCUGGAACCACACACCUGUUCACCUAUUCUGGAUAUCAGCAACUUCAUAACUCUCCACCCUUUUGAGCAGUCUACUUGGCAGUAAAACACAAAAGUUGAAAUUUUCUCAAACAAAAAAAUAGAUCCACUCCAAGAAAACAGUUCUUCCUAACUGGAAAUCAAAGAAAUUGUUGCAUAUUAAUAUCUGGACAAACCUUUUCACUGAAUCGAUGCAUCUGGAAAGCAUCAAAUUUAGGUAAAAAGAAAAUAAAGCUGUUUGCAUUAAUAUCUGGAACCCAUUUUUAGAAUCCCUUAAG